rnacentral:misc_RNA from 1 species
GAAAUAAAGUGUAACAAAGAGUGGGAAAAUAUUAACAAAGGCCUAUGGAAAGAUCCAUCCCUGAAAUAUACCUUGGUGUGGAGGAAGGACUUUACGUCGCUAAACUGGCCAUGUAUCAUGCGUACUUCAUGGAUACUGGAUACUUCACUUGCCAUCAACAGAACGCAGACUUCCUUGUUGCCCAAGUCUAUGUUUAUGUCAGAGAUGAAGACAACUUCCUGGCCAUGAACAACACGAUGAUAUUUAACACGAAACAGCAGGGAGAUACAGUCGAGAUCCCUUGUCGCCCUACAGACCCUUCACUCACUAUAGAACUUUUUAAAGAUUCUGAAAGAAUAAUCAAGCCUGGCCUCCAUGGUGGCACGAAGGUGUCGUUUGACAGACGUGCAGGAUACACGUUUGCCAACCUGUCAGAUAAAGACAGCGGUACCUACGUUUGCACACCCAUGUCCGCUAACCGCACUCUCUCGUCUCAGAAAGAAGUCGGCACAUAUGUUCUGUUUGUCUACAGAAAGACAUCGUCUAUUGAGAAGCCACACAUCACGGUGAGUCACAAGAUUGCAGCUGUCAACACAAAUGUCAGUCUCACCUGUUCCAUCCAUCACAACCUGGAUGUCACCGUGGUGCUGGACUGGGUGCUGCCAGACCCCAGGCUCAAUAAGAGUAAUCACAUACACUCGGAGAGACUUAUAAACAAAGUUGAUGGACAAUAUAACACACAAGUCACCCUGAACAUCUACAAUGUGAAUGAGGAAGACGAAGGGGAAUAUAUCUGUCAAGUGGUCGACCAGUCGAACAAUAAAAACAGUAAUAAAACAACGCUAAGGGUAACAGCUCACAGUGUCCUGGAUCUGAUUCCUGCGAAGACAGAAUACUCAGUUCACCCGGGAGUCGCCAACGAGGAAUUGGUUGUCAACAUCGAAUCCUCCCCCGAGGUCAAGUACAAACAAUGGUAUGAUUAUGAGGACCGGUUGAUAAUCACACAAGGCAGUUCUAAGUACACAGUUACUGACAACCAGUUCAUGAGCAAACUCACAAUUAAGCGGCCGAACACACGAGACUCAGGGACCUACAGGCUGGAGGUGAACAACGGGGUGUACACUAAGAGUGUCCUCAUCCCAGCAACAUUCAAUGGUAUUCCGGAAGUAAUAGUGAAUAAUGGAGAGACAGAAAAGUUCUACCUGACAGACAAUGAACACAUCAUUGACUGUGAGGUUUUUGGACAUCCCAGGCCCAACAUCACUUGGAUCUCCGUCCCUUGUCCAAACUACCCUGUCUGCCUGGAUCGCCAUGAGCCUGUACCGCUGGCUAUGUAUGUAGCGCACAAGAAUGAGGAGCUUCCACUCCACAAACCACUCAAGUCUAGCAUCAGAGUACCCAAACAUCAUGAAACAGCCAAGUUUUUCUGUGUGGCCAACAAUCUUUACACUCAAGAUUCCACUGAGGACCGACAGAAUUACACAUAUUUUCUUGCUACAGAGGUGGAAGAGGGGUUUAACAUUGUACACCCCGAACUGGUGGUACAAACCGACAACGUUACGCUAAGCUGCGGAGCAUCCAAAUACAAGUACACUUCUGACUUCCGGUGGUUUCUUGAGAAAGAUGGACAACAAUCUGAACUCCUGGAUGCGAAGGUGUGGAAUGAUGAAUCUACCUUAUCGUACUGGAGACAUUUGAAUAUUCCAGACGUCAGUAAGGACAACGCUGCUAUAUAUAGGUGUCAGGCUACUCACAAAGAAACCAACAUAGAGAAGACUCAGAUAUACAACAUGGUCGUAGAAUCCUUGUUGGAGCCACAUCUCAGCAGAGGCAGCAGUAAUGCUGAGUGGAGGGGAACAACGGGCCAGAAGGUGACUUUCCAUUGCCAAGUGGACGGCAUGCCCCCACCCUCAGUCAUCUGGUACAAACAGACAGAGAUGGGAGAGAAAGAGCUGGAAAUAGAGAAAUUCAAGCCGAAGGAUGGCAAUCAGAGCCUGACGAUAACAGUCGGACUGGAGGAUGAUGGGAAGUUUAUCUGCAAGGCUGCCAAUAAGGCCGGCAAAGCCGCACUUGAGUUCCAAGUCAUCGUCACAGAUAAGCCCAAUAUGUUGCUGUUCCUCUUGGGAAUAUAUGUUUUACCUGUGGCCGUGUUGGUGAUACUGUUGGUCCUUGCGUUUUACUUUUGGAGAGUUUACAAGCUGAGGAAAGAGAUCAAGGAACUGAAAGAUGCUGGGCUACUGCAUUUUGAGGAGGGAAAUGUGGAGAGUCUCAAUCCAGAAUUGGAUGUUGGAGACCAGGCGGACCUUCUGCCGUACGACCGUAAGAGGUGGGAAUUCCCACGGGACAAGCUGAAGUUGGGCAAGACUCUGGGGUCUGGGGCGUUUGGAGUAGUAAUGAAAGCCGAGGCCUACGAGCUGGUAGAGUCCGGCGUGGCUACGACAGUCGCUGUGAAAAUGGUUAAGCGCAACUCAGAUGUGAAGAAGAUCAGGGCUCUUGCGUCAGAACUUAAGAUUAUGAUCCAUCUGGGCAAACAUCUCAACGUGGUCAAUGUGCUCGGAGCCUGCACUGGAGACCUCAACAAGAGAGAGCUGCUGGUGCUGGUAGAGUACUGUCAGUACGGGAAUCUUCACAACUAUCUCAGGAACCAUCGAGGGGCCUUCAUCAACCAAGUGAACUCAAGCACCGGCUCGUUUGACCCCACUGUGAUUCAGCCUGUUACACCCCGAUCUCCCAGUGGAAAUUUCCCUGGCUCUCCAUUUGGGCCUGGAGUACAUUCAAAUGGCAACACAUCGAUGAGGACAAGUGCUGCGUUCUCCCACAACACAGACACCACUCUUAUCCACUCAGACAUGUCCUCACAGUCCAGAACAGGGACAGGGGACGCCGCAGCGCACACCACUCCUGUUGGGGAAGAUGGAUACCUCAUCUGUAGAGAUCAUGAGUGGCGCAACAAGGACAGGGGAGACUACAAGGAUGGCCUGGGGUCUGUCUGCACUCAGGACCUCAUCUGCUGGGGAUUCCAAAUCGCUCGGGGGAUGGAGUACCUGGCCUCAAGAAAGGUUCUACACGGAGAUCUUGCAGCAAGAAAUGUGCUGCUGGCCGAGGACAACAUCGUCAAGAUCUGUGACUUUGGCCUCUCCAAGAGUAUGUACACAGACGUAAACUAUCACAAGAAAGGAGAUGACCCUCUGCCAGUCAAGUGGAUGGCUCUAGAGUCUAUACAAGACAGAGUGUUCUCCACCCAGUCUGACGUUUGGGCGUACGGCAUCACUCUGUGGGAGCUGUUCUCUCUGGCUUGCGAACCUUACCCAGGAAUGGAAUGGGGUGAAAAACUGUUCACCAAACUAGCAGAAGGUUAUCGAAUGGAGCAACCGAAGUAUUCAACCAAGCAAGUAUACCAAGUGAUGGUGGACUGCUGGCACGUGAAUCCUCACUCUAGACCUUCCUUCACAGAGCUCACCGAAAGAAUGGGAGCGAUGCUUGAAGACACCGUGAGAACGCAUUACGUGGAUCUGAAUGAUCCGUUCCUGGAAGAGAACAGUGAGUUCCUCGCCCAGAGAGACUAUCUGAGCAUGUUGCGCUCGCCCACCUAUACUAACUGGUCGUCCAAGGACUACGCCAUCAUGAAACCUGUUCUCAGGGACAAUGAAGAGGCCAUGGAGUUGACACCAAUGUUGGGAAAUAAAGCUGCUGCCCCUCACGCUCAGUCAGAGGACAGCUCCGACGGCUCCCCCCCCAUCACCAAGCCCUCAGAUCCUUCUAUCUCGGGAGAGGUACUAUCAGAGUCGGAGGCAACAAUUACGUGAACGUAGCUCAUGUUCUAAGCUUCUCAAACCCCAACUACCACAACCUCGGACGGCCAAAGCAGAGUCCCUACAUCAACAUGCCAGACUCUGCUGACGAGAGCUGAACCUCAAGAACUAAAUUUUCUAACCGUGAUCUAGUCUAAGAGAAGUGCUCCAGCCAGCUGUACCUGUCAGGGUCGUUGAAACUUCCCUGGAAUCAUGUUUGAACAAGCACAGUACUUCAAAAGCACUGCCUAUUCCAACCAAAACUGAUAUUCUACUUCUAGCCUGCAUAUAAAUUAUAUUUAUUUAAUAAAACUGACAAUAUUUUCAUAAAAAUGUUGGUAAUGAAUAGAAAUUGUUAUCUAGUCAGUCUUUUACAAAAUAACAUUGCAAUCAAGAACAUUGUAAAAAUUUUCAUUGUUUAACAAGACGUUUUAAUAACAGAUUUAACCAUUAAUUGAAUCUGUAAAAUUAAAAAUUCACAGUUUGCCAUACAGUGAAUAUCGUAAGGUUAGCAUGUUUUAAUUUGAAAUGGUUUUAAAAACCUCAAAAAAUGUAGAAUCAUUUAACAUAUUAAUCCAAACAAAAUACUCUGAUUCAUAAGUAUUUCUUAGAAUAAUAUAAAUACGUAUGGGUAGUCUUUUGAAAUAAAAUGAUUUGUAGAUAUUAUAAUGUAUUUAUUACAUUUUGAACAAAUAAAACAUCAUAUUAUUAUUAUAGUUUCUAUAUAAGUUAUAGAAUUCUAAUUAUAUUAGCUUCUUUUAAAGCUAGUGCUAUAAAUACAAAUUAUUUGAUGUUAAUAUGUACAAAAGUGUAAUAUAGUUUUAUCUUGUUUAUUUAAUAUUCUGUAAGUUUCAGAACAGAAAAUAUAUGUAAAUGUCUUUAUACUGUACAUGAGUAUUGUAGAUAUAAGAGGUACUUAAUUAUGAAGAAGAAUGAUGUUGAGGAUUUAUAAGUACUUAGUAUUUUACACAUUUUGUAUUUAAUUAGUAGGCAUUGAAGCAUUACUUUUUUUAGAUCUCAUAGAUCUUGUAACAACAGUUACAAUAAUUUUAAUAAAUACAUAUUUUAUUUGUG